rnacentral:rRNA from 1 species
CAUGGCUCAGGAUGAACGCUAGCGGCAGGCUUAACACAUGCAAGUCGAGGGGCAGCAUGAGGGUUAGCAAUAACCCUUGAUGGCGACCGGCGCAAGGGUGCGUAACGCGUGAGCAACUUGCCCGUUUCUGGGGAAUAACCGGUGGAAACGCCGACUAAUACCCCAUAGUAUUGAGUUCAGGCAUCUUUACUCAAUUAAAGAAUUUCGGAAACGGAUAGGCUCGCGUGACAUUAGCUUGAUGGCGGGGUAACGGCCCACCAUGGCGACGAUGUCUAGGGGUUCUGAGAGGAAGGUCCCCCACACUGGAACUGAGACACGGUCCAGACUCCUACGGGAGGCAGCAGUGAGGAAUAUUGGUCAAUGGUCUGACGACUGAACCAGCCAUGCCGCGUGAAGGUCACGGCCCUAUGGGUCUUAAACUUCUUUUGUAAGGGAGCAAUAAGCCCCACGUGUGGGGUGAUGAGAGUACCUUACGAAUAAGCAUCGGCUAACUCCGUG